rnacentral:rRNA from 1 species
UGACUAAGCCAUGCAAGUCGAGAGGGUUCGGCCCUCGGCGUACUGCUCAGUAACACGUGGAUAACCUGCCCUAGGGGAGGGGAUAACCCCGGGAAACUGGGGAUAAUACCCUAUAGGUUACAGAUGCUGGAAUGCCCUGUAACCAAAAGCUCCGGCGCCCUAGGAUGGAUCUGCGGCCGAUUAGGUUGUUGUUGGGGUAACGGCCCAACAAGCCCGUAAUCGGUACGGGUUGUGGGAGCAAGAGCCCGGAGUUGGAUUCUGAGACACGAAUCCAGGCCCUACGGGGCGCAGCAGGCGCGAAACCUUUACAAUGCGGGCAACCGUGAUAAGGGAACCUCGAGUGCCUGUAAACGCAGGCUGUUCAGGUGUUUAAAACGCACCUGGAGAAAGGGCCGGGCAAGACCGGUGCCAGCCGCCGCGGUAAUACCGGCGGCUCGAGUGGUGGCCGCUUUUAUUGGGCUUAAAGCGUUCGUAGCUGGGUUGUUAAGUCUCUUGGGAAAUCUGGCGGCUUAACCGUCAGGCGUCUAAGGGAUACUGGCAAUCUUGGAACCGGGAGAGGUGAGGGGUACUUCGGGGGUAGGGGUGAAAUCCUGUAAUCCUCGAGGGACCACCUGUGGCGAAGGCGCCUCACCAGAACGGCUUCGACAGUGAGGGACGAAAGCUGGGGGAGCAAACCGGAUUAGAUACCCGGGUAGUCCCAGCCGUAAACGAUGCGCGUUAGGUGUAUCGGUGACCACGAGUUACCGAGGUGCCGAAGGGAAACCGUGAAACGCGCCGCCUGGGAAGUACGGUCGCAAGACUGAAACUUAAAGGAAUUGGCGGGGGAGCA